UACAGGGGGGGCAAGCGUUGUUCGGAAUUACUGGGCGUAAAGCGCACGUAGGCGGCUUUUUAAGUCAGGGGUGAAAUCCCGGGGCUCAACCCCGGAACUGCCCUUGAAACUGGAUGGCUAGAAUCUUGGAGAGGCGAGUGGAAUUCCGAGUGUAGAGGUGAAAUUCGUAGAUAUUCGGAAGAACACCAGUGGCGAAGGCGACUCGCUGGACAAGUAUUGACGCUGAGGUGCGAAAGCGUGGGGAGCAAACAGG
rnacentral:rRNA from 1 species